rnacentral:rRNA from 1 species
GAACGAGAAAGGGGAGCAAUCCCUGAGUACAGUGGCGUACGGGUGAGUAACACGUGGGUAAUCUGCCCUUUGGUGGGGAAUAACCCUGGGAAACCGGGGCUAAUACCGCAUAAGUCCGAGAGGAGAAAGCAGCAAUGCGCCGAAGGAGGAGCCCGCGGCCGAUUAGCUAGUUGGUAGGGUAAAAGCCUACCAAGGCAAAGAUCGGUAGCCGGCCUGAGAGGGCACACGGCCACACUGGCACUGAAACACGGGCCAGACUCCUACGGGAGGCAGCAGUGGGGAAUCUUGCACAAUGGGGGAAACCCUGAUGCAGCGACGCCGCGUGAGCGAUGAAGCCCUUCGGGGUGUAAAGCUCUUUCGGCAGGGAAGAUGAUGACGGUACCUGCAGAAGCAGCUGCGGCUAACUACGUG